AAGUCGUAACAAGGUUUCCGUAGGUGAACCUUCGGAAGGAUCAUUAAUACGUUUCUAAACAAACGUUUUAAACUCCAAAAUAUUAAUAGUGGAAAUAUAACUUCCGGAUGCAUUUGUAGGAGGGCAGAUAAGACUAACAUUUGAUCUCUCUUUUGAAAAGGAGACUUCAUGCACUUUAUUGUGUGUGACACUUCAGAGUAGAGCAGUGAGGUGAAAACUUCGGUUUUGGUUUCUGAAAUACAUCUGUAUCCGGUUAUUCUCUGUUCUACAACCCUUUUAUUAAACAAUAAACCCCAUGUACAACAACUUGAACUAAACAAAUUUUGUUUUCUCUCUUUGAGGAAAUGAAGUAAAUCUGAACUUAAGAACAACUCUUAACAACGGAUAUCUUGGUUCUC
rnacentral:misc_RNA from 1 species